rnacentral:rRNA from 1 species
CGCGUAGGCGGCCUGGUGAGUCAGAUGUGAAAGCCCGGGGCUCAACCCCGGAAGUGCAUUUGAUACUGCUAGGCUUGAGUAUGGGAGAGGGAAGUGGAAUUCCUGGUGUAGAGGUGAAAUUCGUAGAUAUCAGGAGGAACACCGGUGGCGAAGGCGACUUCCUGGACCAAUACUGACGCUGAGGCGCGAAGGCGUGGGGAGCAAACA